GGUCCUAUAGCUCAGUUGGUUAGAGCACCUGACUCAUAAUCAGGGGGUCCUAGGUUCAAGUCCUAGUGGGACCACAA
rnacentral:tRNA from 1 species